rnacentral:rRNA from 1 species
UUUCCUACGGGUGGCUGCAGUGGGGAAUUUUGGACAAUGGGCGCAAGCCUGAUCCAGCAAUGCCGCGUGUGUGACGAAGGCCUUCGGGUUGUAAAGCACUUUUGUUCGGGAAGAAAUCCGCCGGGCUAAUAUCCUGGCGGGAUGACGGUACCGGAAGAAUAAGCACCGGCUAACUACGUGCCAGCAGCCGCGGUAAUACGUAGGGUGCGAGCGUUAAUCGGAAUUACUGGGCGUAAAGCGUGCGCAGGCGGCGCUGUAAGACAGAUGUGAAAUCCCCGGGCUCAACCUGGGAACUGCAUUGGUGACUGCAGUGCUAGAGUGUGUCAGAGGGGGGUGGAAUUCCACGUGUAGCAGUGAAAUGCGUAGAGAUGUGGAGGAACACCGAUGGCGAAGGCAGCCCCCUGGGAUAACACUGACGCUCAGGCACGAAAGCGUGGGGAGCAAACAGGAUUAGAUACCCCUGUAGUCC